GGUUCGGGAGCAGCCGGUGGGACGGCUGCAGGAAUGGAAUCUGACCCCCUUCAUUCGUGAGCGGAGCGUUGCUGUGGCCCGACGGCAUGGCGCG
rfam:Rhodovulum sp. NI22 contig00066, whole genome shotgun sequence.